GACUGGUGGAUUAAAAUGACUGACACAAUCAUGUGUGAUCCAUUAUCAGGUUACAGAUUUGUGCCGCUGGCCCCAACAAGGCACAUUGCACUACUCGGGUAAGUGCGUUCAAGAAGGUUGUGAGGGUGUUCGCGGAAAAGCCGAUGAAUAAUGUAGUCACUCCAGUGUUGGAUACUACCUUCGACUUGCUUGUAGAAGCAUACGAUUUGUCUCUUCUCUGUGUAGAUAACAUGUUGAAUGUUGUUCAUACGAUUGCAUGUUGGCAGAAAUGAUGAGGAUUAGUAGGUGAAGACGAGGUACUGCUAUGGUUAUCGUAAAGAUCCUCCUCCAUGCCUCAUGGGAAGCAACAUCAUGAUUGCUCUUGCAAAAUCGAUGAUGAUGCUAUGAAUGUUAGUUCUGCUGCCAUUGUGGAUUAGCUUGUGCCCCUCAAAUGCUAUUGACAAGUUCCACCUUGAGUCCGUAGAUCAGUGGAAUUAUAAUGAGUAGUAUAAAACAUGAGAUGUCUGAUUGUAUAUAACCCGCACCUCCAAAUUGAUGUGUUCUAGGCUGUGUCUUUGAUUGAAAAUGUUUCUAGACUAUAAACUGUUCUAUCCGUGAUAACUGCAACUAGAAGAAUUUUUCCCAUUUAAAUUCUGUAAUCCCUAUUAGCUAAAACUUUAGCAUUACAAAGUUUUAUAUUUAAGUUCAGUUUCUUGGUAAGCCAUCCUCCUCAUGGUAGAGUUUCUCUUGCAGAUAGAUAAUUAUUUCUUCAAGUUUUGUUUUUCUGGUGUGUUUAGCUGUUUCUCAUGAUGUAGCUAUUGUUGCUUUUUUGUCUCAGGGUGUGAUUGUUCUGAUCACCUACUUCAACAACGGCUCGGGCGUAUGUGCCUCAAACUCUUAGCGUGGACUCACUAUUUAUGUUUGUUCUCCUAGGGUUUGUAGAUUGCGAAACAUGGCAAGUAACAUGUAGAUGCUCUAUUUCUUAUUCCCUGCUCUAGUUUAUUUCAAUUUAUAUUUCUCUGGACAUCAAGUCAAGUGCUGAAUUUUGAGGGUACGGAAGCUUGUAACAUCACGGGUUUCUUUGAUGAUAGUGAAUGUGAAGUAGGAUUGUAUUGUAUCUUCGUUUAUAGAUAUUUUUUAGUUACAACUCAAUACCAAAUUCUACAGUAGGGGUUCUUGUGGCAUCAACAGCUAUUGUAAUAAUGAAUGUAUAUUACGAUUGUAUUGUGCCCUUCGGUGUUUUCGUAUUUAUCAUGCAUACACAACAAAUCAUGAAAAUAAACUACAUUCGGCAUACUCAAAUAACACUGGGGUCUGGGACUAUUUUAUGGUGUUGUCGAUAUACUUUGUGAUUUAAAGUUACUGAUCUAUGGUCUGGUGUCAUAUUAUGGUCUAAUAUUUUUUGUUUUGAUUCUUUCUCUGUUGCCAGGAAUAGAUGUCGAUGAUGCCUACUUGCUUGCCAGCUACAGUGAUGCAUGGACCGGUGAAGCAAGCACACAUGCAAGGCUAGCCCCAUGUAUCUUCCUUGGGUGCAAACAUCAUCUACAAGUAUGAAAAAUGUAACACCUCUCUGUGUUGUUUUGCUCCUCUUCUCUCUGCAUCCGAGAAAAUUGGUGCUUAAUAUGCUAUUGAUUUACAGUGUCUGUUAGUUAACACCAAGCCUAAACUAUUGCUUUGUUUUUCCUCUUUAUGCCCCAAGUUUUACUAGCAACAAGCUCAACUUCAUGCUUUGUAGGAAAUAAGUACAUGAUUGUUUAUCCUCCUGUGUAACAGUUUAAGUUUGUGAGUUGAUCCUAUGUUCGUGUUAGCAAGUCUAAUUAGGCGUGUUCUGAUGAUAGUGAAGAAGAAAAGUGUCUUCUAAUGUGGUGGUGCCAAACAAAAGUUUUAUGCUUAUGUUGAGCUUACUUUUAAUAUGUGAACAUGACAAUUUAGAGGCUAUACUGAAGUUCCACUCAUUUUAUUCUGUGUGUUGAGCUUACCUUUGUAUGUCAGGAUUUUUUCUUCAUCUGUUACCCUUCCUUUGGCUGUAGUUUAUCUUUGUAUAGAAACCAAUCUUGGUGUUCUUCCUAUUUGCAUUUGAUUUACAUUUCGAAAUUCCCUAGCACAACUAUAUAUAACAAUGUCGGUAUGUGUUUUCUUAUUUUAGUGUCUAUAGUACAUUUGCAUGAUGUUGAAUUAUGUGCUACAGAAUAUACAUUAGCUGAUUUAAACUGCUAUUUUCCUAUGCCUAAUCAAAUGCCCUUUGUUUUUGCAGUAUGCAUACCCAGGUCAAACUUGCGAUCAUGGUGAAGGUGCUGAUCUAGGUUUCCUAUCUUCAGAAGUGAAAUGUUUGCUUGCUACCUUCUUUUGGGUACUGCUUUCUAAUCAAGUUCUUGAACACAAGAGUUACGCAUACAAAUCAUGUGCUAUUUAUGCUUAGGUUUAUGCACUGAUAGUCAUCUUCUUGUCUACUUAGCUGAAUCAUGUCUUUGUGUACUAAACAUCAAUUACUAGUAUUUGGCUUCUAUGUGCUAAUUAAACCCGAUAAAUAUAUAUAGUUCUUUGAGGUGCAAAUUCCAUAGUGCAUGUUUACGAGGUUAAGAUUCUACAGAUGUUGCAUAAUAUUGGUGACAAAGUGUCUCUCCUUAGGGGUUGAUUUAAAUAACAUAUGAUCUACUGAAAUAAAUUUUUUGGUGCCCAAACAUUGAAAUUCUGGUUCUUUGUUUCAAACACCAAAAUGUUGUUUACCUUGUCGUUCUAUGCUUAAAUGAUAAAAAUGUCUCAUUUAUAGGAAUGUAAACCUGAUGUAGAAUAGUAUUUACUUGUUGCUGUUAGUUACUACUUGUAUCCGCUGAUUUCUAUUCCUCAUUUUGCUUGUUUUACUCUUAUUUAUGCUCACGGACUGCCUACAAGUUAACAUGCUGUUAGAUUUGCCUUUACUUUGUUCCAAACCAUUUUGUUUGAUAACUUGCAGACGUUGUCCUUCAUUCAUGUUUCGUCGUGAGAUCUAGGACGAAGAAGUUGGGAGAAUCAUAAAGUUCUAGCUCAUUGGAGCUAGUUAUACUUGUAUGGCUAGUUAUUUUUUUUGGAUUUUUUAGUUGUGUUACCUGAUGUGAACUAGUUCUGAUUGUAAACCUCAUGUGAUCUUAGAACUAUUAUUGCUCUAGUCUGGUGGGAGUUGUGGAAGCAUAGGAAUGCUAUUGUUUUUGAAGGGGCGCGCCCUUGCUUGGAGUAUCUACUAGGGCGAGUGAGGCAUGAGGGCCAACUGUGGGCAUCGGCCGGGCUAAUGAAAGGGAAUGUAACUCCCUUCUUUACUAGAGUGGAGAGGUGGGAGAUGAGUGAGGAGUAAUAUGUAACAAAACCGUGUAAUUGUGGUGGAGGCUUUCUAUGCCUUUCUUCUUUAAUAUAUGAUAUGCACACUCAUGCAUAUUCGAAAAAAAUAAACCUCAUGUGAACCAUGUUUGAUUGCAAUGUGCCAAGUUUGGCUCUGUUUGAUUGUAUUCAUGAUGUGAACCAUGUUUUCAUGAUAUUUAGUUGUUCUUUGUUUGAAGCAUCGUCUAAUUAUUGGUUAUUUAUUUAUUGGAUCAUUGAAAUCUGAGGAAUAUAACCUUGACA
rnacentral:lncRNA from 1 species